GAGGGGUAUAUGUCUUCGGAUAUAGAGACCGGCGCACGGGUGCGUAACGCGUAUGCAAUCUACCUUUUACAGAGGGAUAGCCCAGAGAAAUUUGGAUUAAUACCUCAUAGUAUAGCUCUACCGCAUGGUAGUACUAUUAAAGUCACAACGGUAAAAGAUGAGCAUGCGUCCCAUUAGCUAGUUGGUAAGGUAACGGCUUACCAAGGCAACGAUGGGUAGGGGUCCUGAGAGGGAGAUCCCCCACACUGGUACUGAGACACGGACCAGACUCCUACGGGAGGCAGCAGUGAGGAAUAUUGGACAAUGGGCGCAAGCCUGAUCCAGCCAUGCCGCGUGCAGGAUGACGGUCCUAUGGAUUGUAAACUGCUUUUGUACGAGAAGAAACACUGCUUCGUGAAGCAGCUUGACGGUAUCGUAAGAAUAAGGAUCGGCUAACUCCGUGCCAGCAGCCGCGGUAAUACGGAGGAUCCAAGCGUUAUCCGGAAUCAUUGGGUUUAAAGGGUCCGUAGGCGGUUUAGUAAGUCAGUGGUGAAAGCCCAUCGCUCAACGGUGGAACGGCCAUUGAUACUGCUGAACUUGAAUUAUUAGGAAGUAACUAGAAUAUGUAGUGUAGCGGUGAAAUGCUUAGAGAUUACAUGGAAUACCAAUUGCGAAGGCAGGUUACUACUAAUUGAUUGACGCUGAUGGACGAAAGCGUGGGGAGCGAACAGGAUUAGAUACCCUGGUAGUCCACGCCGUAAACGAUGGAUACUAGCUGUUGGGAGCAAUCUCAGUGGCUAAGCGAAAGUGAUAAGUAUCCCACCUGGGGAGUACGUUCGCAAGAAUGAAACUCAAAGGAAUUGACGGGGGCCCGCACAAGCGGUGGAGCAUGUGGUUUAAUUCGAUGAUACGCGAGGAACCUUACCAAGGCUUAAAUGUAGAUUGACCGGUUUGGAAACAGAUCUUUCGCAAGACAAUUUACAAGGUGCUGCAUGGUUGUCGUCAGCUCGUGCCGUGAGGUGUCAGGUUAAGUCCUAUAACGAGCGCAACCCCUGUUGUUAGUUGCCAGCGAGUCAUGUCGGGAACUCUAACAAGACUGCCAGUGCAAACUGUGAGGAAGGUGGGGAUGACGUCAAAUCAUCACGGCCCUUACGCCUUGGGCUACACACGUGCUACAAUGGCCGGUACAGAGAGCAGCCACUGGGCGACCAGGAGCGAAUCUAUAAAACCGGUCACAGUUCGGAUCGGAGUCUGCAACUCGACUCCGUGAAGCUGGAA
rnacentral:rRNA from 1 species